GCCUAGGCUUGUACAUCUCCAGGUACCACCGAGCUGCUGCCUGUGCCCCACACGUUAAUGCAUCACAACAUCGAUAAGAUGAGCGGCAACGUGUACAAAGAGGGCAGUGAGGAAUGUAUGAAAUGCAGGAAAAGCAUUCUGAUUACAAAAGGAUUGGAUGCUCCUGGAAGUACAUUGAGGAAAAACUAGAAUGUUAAAAAUGAUAAACAAAUUCUAGUUUCGUUACCAAGAAGUAAUCGCUGUUGACUUUUAGGAGGAGUUUCUUCUAAUAUUAUGUUUAAUGGUGAUAGAAAUUGAUUGUGGCUGAACCUGAAUGAUACUCACUUUUCUCCUUCCUCUGGCUCGCUCUGGAUGGUAAGCGCCAAGUCGCCCAGCAGAUGAACUUCCUGCACAGCUACAUUGUUCUCAGAGCCCUGUCAGCACCAUCCCUGCUUUGACCAUUGUUGGGCCUUGGUCAUUGUUAUGAAUACCGGGAUGAUGGUGAUGUCUGACCGACGUCCACACGUGGGAUAAAGAAUGAUGUUCCUUUCCUUAACCACCUGAUGCAAUUCCUGGGGAGACGUUUGGCACAGAAUAAGGAAGGCAGCUGUGGGGAAGGCUUCGCAAGGCCCUGACCAGGCUGCAGUGAGAACCGAACUGCCAUGGGGCUCGGUGGCCAGCAGACUUGACUCCAACUUUCUCCAGGGGGACCGAGUGUGUUUAGAGAAAGCACUGACAGAAAUUGCCUCUCUAUCUCUCUUGAACAUUAAACCUGGGCAGAUCGAUGGGCGUUUGUUAUUAGAAAGGAUAAUCAACAUGGUUUUCUGAAAGAGGAAAAUUCUUUUCAAAGUAGAACGCAUCAUUCACUUCUAAAACCGAGGAAUUACUGGUGAGGAAGAUAAUAGGCUUUCCCCCCUUCCUUUUACAGAUUGAAGAAUUUAGCCCCUCACAGGGUAGCUGCAGAAGAUUGGUGGGCAAGUAUUAGUAAUUAGCAUUCUUGACGUGGACCAAUGGGCUCGCCCCCAUUUCACACUGUUAAUGGCAAAUACCUCCUUAGUUUUUGUCUGAUUUCCUAAGAUUCUCUACUGAUGGUGUUCCAUUAAGCCUGGCAAGCAAAUAAAUAAAUAAAUAAUCAUUAUUUACUGAG